rnacentral:rRNA from 1 species
GACGAACGCUGGCGGCGUGCUUAACACAUGCAAGUCGAACGGUGAAGCGCCUUCCUUUUUGGUGGGUGUGGAUGAGUGGCGAACGGGUGAGUAACACGUGAGUAACCUGCCCCCUUCUUCUGGAUAACCGCAUGAAAGUGUGGCUAAUACGGGAUAUUCUGGGUCUGUCGCAUGAUGGGUCUGGGAAAGAUAUUGUUUCGGUGGGGGAUGGGCUCGCGGCCUAUCAGCUUGUUGGUGGGGUGAUGGCCUACCAAGGCGGUGACGGGUAGCCGGCCUGGGAGGGUGGACGGUCACACUGGGACUGAGACACGGCCCAGACUCCUACGGGAGGCAGCAGUGGGGAAUAUUGAACAAUGGGCGCAAGCCUGAUGCAGCGACGCCGCGUGAGGGAUGGAGGCCUUCGGGUUGUGAACCUCUUUCGCCAGUGAAGCAGGCCUGCCUCGUUUGUGGGUGGGUUGACGGUAGCUGGAUAAGAAGCGCCGGCUAACUACGUG